GAAAGGAUGGCCCAGUGGUCAGAGCGCUGGCAGGAGACCAGGGUUCGGAUCCCUGCUCUGUCC
rnacentral:tRNA from 1 species